CAGUAGCCGCGGUAAUACGAAGGGUGCAAGCGUCAAUCGGAAUUACUGGGCGUAAAGCGUGCGUAGGCGGUGAGCUAAGUCUGCUGUGAAAUCCCCGGGCUCAACCUGGGAAUGGCAGUGGAUACUGGCUCGCUAGAGUGUGUCAGAGGAUGGUGGAAUUCCCGGUGUAGCGGUGAAAUGCGUAGAGAUCGGGAGGAACAUCAGUGGCGAAGGCGGCCAUCUGGGACAACACUGACGCUGAGGCACGAAAGCGUGGGGAGCAAACAGGAUUAGAUACCCCGGUAGUCCCUGUCUCUUAUAC
rnacentral:rRNA from 1 species